ACGCACGCUGGCGGCGUGCUUAACACCUGCAAGUCGAACGGAAAGGCCCUGCUUUUGUGGGGUGCUCGAGUGGCGAACGGGUGAGUAACACGUGAGUAAACUGCCCUUGACUUUGGGAUAACUUCAGGAAACUGGGGCUAAUACCGGAUAGGAGCUCCUGCUGCAUGGUGGGGGUUGGAAAGUUUCGGCGGUUGGGGAUGGACUCGCGGCUUAUCAGCUUGUUGGUGGGGUAGUGGCUUACCAAGGCUUUGACGGGUAGCCGGCCUGAGAGGGUGACCGGCCACAUUGGGACUGAGAUACGGCCCAGACUCCUACGGGAGGCAGCAGUGGGGAAUAUUGCACAAUGGGCGGAAGCCUGAUGCAGCAACGCCGCGUGCGGGAUGACGGCCUUCGGGUUGUAAACCGCUUUCGCCUGUGACGAAGCGUGAGUGACGGUAAUGGGUAAAGAAGCACCGGCUAACUACGUG
rnacentral:rRNA from 1 species